AGGAUGAACGCUGGCGGCGUGCUUAACACAUGCAAGUCAAGGGGGCCCAGCAAUGGGUAACCGGCGAACGGGUGCGUAACACGUGAGCAACCUACCGAAUUGUGGGGGAUAGCCGGCCCAACGGCCGGGUAAUACCGCAUACGCUCGAGACGAGGCAUUUCGACUCGAGGAAACCUACGGGACAUUUCGAGGGGCUCGCGGCCUAUCAGCUAGUUGGUGAGGUAACGGCUCACCAAGGCGACGACGGGUAGCUGGUCUGAGAGGAUGGCCAGCCACAUUGGGACUGAGAUACGGCCCAGACUCCUACGGGAGCAGCAGUGGGGAAUC
rnacentral:rRNA from 1 species